rnacentral:rRNA from 1 species
GAAGUGGGAAUAGCCCAAACCAGUAAUUUAUUACUGGGGUUGUAGGGCUAGCGAUAUGGAUUAUCAAAUUUUAACCGAACAGCAUGGGAAGGCUGGCAAGAUAGGGUGAAAGCCCCGUAGGUGAAAGGAUUCGAUAGACUAGCUAGUACCCUGAGUAGGGCCGGACACGUGAAACCCGGUCUGAAUCUGGGGGGACCACCCUCCAAGGCUAAAUACUCGUCAAUAACCGAUAGUGAACCAGUACAGUGAUGGAAAGGUGAAAAGAACCCCUGUUAGGGGAGUGAAAUAGAACCUGAAAACGCGU